UGGGAAUUACCAAGUCACAGACUGAAUCAAUGGCUGAAUGUCAGGUGGGUCCACCCCUCUUCACCUUCAUUUAAGUGUUAGCAGCCAAGGGAGCAGCGUCUCUCUAGAGAUUGUUAUUUUUGAGCUGUUGCCAGUCUUGGAAAGAGGCUCUUUUCUCUUUUACGAUGAAAAUUAUGUGGGAGUUUCCCCUGUACAUAUUGGAAAAAAAGCCUGAAACUUCCAUUAUUGAUACCCUUACUGAUUGCAGAAUGCUUUUCAUGAGCAUGAAGAUAUUUGCAUUGAGGCUUUUGAGUGCUUGACUUCACAUCUGAAGAGUGUAACUGACAAUGAAGUGGCAACUUUCUAGAGAUGUUGCCUAGAUAUGUCAUGACCAAGAAGAGCUGCUGUUUCUUAAGAAUCUAGUGGUCUAAAUGAAAUAAAUAUUCUGCAGUCCUGUGUUAUUUCAGGAGUCAGAAUUUGGUGAAAAAUAUUGUUCCGAUUCUUUUUAGGGGGAAAUAAGAUGUUGCUAGUAUUUUCUCAAAAUGGUGAGAGGAGAUAAUGUAGGCCACUGGUACUGAAGAAGAGAAAGAGACUGAGAAAGAUAUAUCAUCGGAUUCAGAACAAAAUUUUGUACUCUAUGCAAAAUAAAUCAGUGGAAAAAAAAAAUAGUAUUGUUGUCAUAAGGGCUGUCAAUUAAAAUCCUGAUUAAAAAAAUUACGGUCCACAACAGCAUGAGAAUGUAGAGUUAGGGCAAGACAUUCUCCCUGAAAGUAUUAUUAUUUUUUUUUUUUAAUUAAAAAAAAGGUGAUUGCUUUGUUUAGGACUAAGUCAUAUAACUGAGUGGAAAAACUCAGACAUUAAACACGUCUAAUGCUGCCCAUUUAAAUAAGGCAGUUUGUGCUAGUUACAUAGAAUCAUGGAAUCACAAAGGUUGGAAAAGACCUUAAGGAUCAUCAAGACCAACCACGACCUAACCAUACUACCCUAAUAACCCUCUGCUAACUCAUGUCCCAAUUGCUCAUGUCUCAUGAGCAAUUCUAAGAGGAUACUGAAAAAAAAAUGUAUUUUGAACACUUAUUUGAUAUCUUCAGUAAAUCUUGUUAUCUAUUAUAUACAGAGUGUCUAUGUUUAAAGAAAACAAAACAAAACCCCAAAAACAGAAAAACAACCGUACAAGAUUUCCAAACAACAGAUUACUGUGUUCCAGAUAACAUUCAAACUAAAUAUCACGGCAAGAUAUUAAUAGGAGACAAAAUAGCAAAAUACUUUCAUUUGCAGAUUUUUUUAAAAAAUUGUUUAGGGAUUGUUGUUUAUUUGUUUUUGGGUUUGUUUUCUUUUUGUUGUUUGUUAAGCUAACAAUCAAUAAUUCUAAAAGAAUACAUAAUCUGGAACAAUAUGAUCUAGGUAUUUUAAGAAGAAUCAAGACUUUGGUAUUGUGAUACAUAAAUGAUGAAAAUGGCAUUUCUGUUCCCAGUGAUGCUGAAGAAAAAAGAAUAGAGUAUUAGGAU